rnacentral:lncRNA from 1 species
ACAUGGCUCAGACUCCGCAGAGAGCAGAUUGCUGAUAAUGGCCAUCCCGUCUCCUGGCCCUCUCCCAGAAGAACCAUAUUUAAGCUCUCAGUUGAUGUGAAUGCCCGGAAAACAUUACUCUCCAGGGCAGUGGGAAGUCUGUCCAUUCCAUGGAGAUUAUCAGCUGAAACAAGGCUGUUUCCCGUCAGACCUGCUUAAGCCAUGUCAAGGUGUAAGAGUAACUGGAUGCUUUACGUAAACAAAAGGACAAAUGAAGGCCAAGCUGGAGUCUCACCUACCUGACUUUUACAGCAUUGCUGAAAUGCCUUUCCAUAAAGAAGACAACUUCAUUCAACUCUUCAAUCUCAAGAUUACAGCCAUUUUCUGCACAGAGAAGGGUACACACUGAGGCAUCCACAAGACCUUGAUUUCAAACAAAUUUGUCUUCCUUUCAGUUAACACUAACAAAGCUACCAUUGAUGGAAACUAAAGGCAUUAAAACCCAGAGCACAUCCCCCAGCAUGAGAAAAUGAAUCAGACGAUGACCGCUUUGAGAAAUGGGCUCUGUGCUGGGACACACUGGGCUGUCUCCUCAGUACAGUCCCAGGCAGGACUUCAUUAUAAACCGCAGCCCCACCUCACACAGCGCCUCCUCAGCAUGACUCACUCACAAAAUCAUCCCUGCUGGUGGGAUGGCCGGCCUCUAACGAUGGAUUUGCUGUGCUGUUUCAUGGAAAACAACAACAACAACAACAAAAAACACACCAUAAACCAAAGACUUAAUGUCCAGCUGGUGGCUGGGACACCUUGGUGAAGAGGACCCAGUAAACUCAGGGAGGCUAGUGGUGCUGUUUGUGUCUCAUGUGGCCCACACCAGCCCACUGGCUGUUCACAAUACAUUCAUCUAGUGUUACUUCAGGGGGCCUCCAGGCCGACCUCCUAACUGAAAACAUCAUAGACCUUUCACGCAAGUGUUCAACGUGCUGGUGUUUACUCCUGCUGCUGGGCAUUCAAAACAACUGCUGAUCCCUCAUGUUCUCCUUACCUUUGUUCCCCUCCUUGCGAGUUGGGUGUAGGCCCCAAUCAGCCUCUGCAGGCCUCUCUGAACCUCAUGGUCUGAGUUUGAGGGGACCCAAGAGCUUGCCUUCUUAUUUUACAGAUGGGGAUACAGAGGCCCAGAGACUCUGUGCACCUUGUCAAGGUCCCAGCGCUAAGUCUAGAAACUAGCUGUCAUGUCAUAUCCCUUGGUCUCGGGAUAUUUUCACUUAUCCAUUCAACACGUGACAAGCAUUUCAAUAAGCCAGCUCUUUGAGGAGCUGGGAACAGGGAGAUGAAAUGGGCCUCUGCCCUGAGCAGCCCCUGGUCUUUGAUGUUAUGAUGGCAAGAAGCACUGGGAGCUAACAUCAAAGGGAGAGAGGCCUUCGGAUGCUUAGAAAGAGUCUCCCCACAGUUGCUAUCCUCCUCUGAAUGCGGCUCAAACCAAAUCAGCACAAAUCCGCUAAAUAAAACCACUGGAAAACAAGGUCAAAGUGACAGAGGCCAAGAGCACCAACAAAAGUGCCUUCUUAUCCAUCUUGGAGCCAAGCUGAAGAGCGGCCCCAAGUGACCAACGGUGGGACUCACGGCUGGGCCUUGUCCCCCCACCCCAGCACAGCCUUGGAUGAAUCACACACCAGAGAACAACAGGGCUAUUUCUCACCAGUCAUUUGUCAAGCUGACAUCCCUGCCUAGAGUUAUUUAGGGCUUUCUAAAGACACUUCUUUCCCUCCCUGCCGCAGGAAGCACCUGCACGGCUGUUGAGUUGUGGUUUUGCUCAAUAGCGCUUUGAUAUCCCUUAAGGCCUUCAUCAAUUACUCUUCUGUCCCUGAUGGGUUGGACUUUGGCUGAGGCAAAGACAGGGAAGCUUAGAGAGGAUGAUGGAGAGGAAGAGGAUGGUGAGUUCCUCUGAGAUCUGAGGCCAGCCACUGUCUGGAGGUGGGCUCUUAUUGAUUUCUGUGGGGGAACCUUCAGGAGAGGACAGUCUGAGUUCUUGGCCAGCUGGACUUGGACCAUAACUGCCAUGUUCCCAUGAGGACAGGUCCCCCUCCUGGAACAGAGCUAUGCUCCUGCCAGCUACUUAGAGGAAAAGAGCAGGCCUGUCAGAUGAGUGUGACUGGAGCAAACCUGGUCUUCCGAUUCAGCUAAAUGACAUAAGGCAGAGGGGACUUGGAGCGGGAUCAGGGAAGAAAAACGGAAAUAAUGAGAAGACUCAGUGAAUGGAUCUCUGAAAGCAGUUAGGAGAAUUUGAGUUGUUGAGUCUAGAGGAGGCAAGAGUGAACUAAGAAUUAGCUUUGAUUAUAGGCAGAAAAACUGUGCAUAAAUUAGUGGUCAUUUCUACUGAAAAUAUGGUGUGGGUUGGAUUCUUGCUUCCAUGGCUGCCCGAGGAUUUUGCUCCAGUGUGCUGGCCUGUCUGGGUUAUUGCAUUAUUCUUAUUCAUGAGGUGGUGGGUCUCCUUCCUUGGAGAUUUGCAUGAAUGGAAAUGACAUCCUCCCAGAUGGAAUGGUUUAGGGAAAGUCUUCACGACACAUAUGUUUCUUCCCUUCAGUUUGCACUGCCCAACAUCCCAGCUUGACCCUUAUGUCUGAAUCAGUUUAGCAGCCUCUUGACUAGUAUACAGAUGUUCCAUCUCUGCCUCCUUCAGUCCACUCUGCCUAUGGAGGUCCCACUUAUCUUCCUUAAAUUCAUCUUGGAUAAUGGCAAUGUCCUGCUAAAAAUAUGUUGAUGCCUAUUUAUUUAUUCAUCCAACAAAUACUGAGCACCUAUUGUCUUGAGCACCGAUUAUGUGCCUGCUGCUUACUCCCGGGCAUACAACAUGGCACAAAGUGUAGUAGGGCCUCAUCAAGGCAUUCACUCAGCCUUCCUGUCCUUGUCCUGGAACCUUUUAAGGCCUCAUCAUCUGCUUUUAACAGAUCUUUCUGACCUUUUGCCCACACAAAACCUUUUCUUCCAGCCUAGCCCAUUCACCAUGAUAACCCACCUGGUGUCUUUCUUGUCACCCCAACUUCUGGAUAGACUAUCCUUAUUCGGAGCCCAUCUCUCCUGUGAAGCUAACACAAGUCUCCUUGCCUUUAGGAGGAUUUCCAUGGCCGCUUGGGUUUUAGAAUUCUCUAGCACCUCUGUCCCCACAGUGUUUCUUCCUUAGCACUGGGUAUGUUCUUCCUGAGUGGAGAGAACUGGCAGCUGCUGUGCCUGCCCUGACCUCCUGUGGCCUCACUCGCCGUGGACAAGUCCUGAGAGAGCUGGAACCUGUGGACAUUCUUUCCCUGUCCGUGCUCUGCUGUGGAUGAUGACAGGGGCAGCUCAGGUGUUUGCUGGGGCUUCCAGAGCAUUUGACACCAUUAAGAAGACGGAGAGUAUACUGAAUGUCUAAACUUAAAGGGGGAGAGGCUUUGGGGAUCAUUUAAUAAAACGACCUUGUUUUGCAGAUAUGGAAACUGAGAACCAGAGAAACUGAUUUACCCAAAACCACAAGGUGACGUAGUAGCAGAGUCAAAUCUUGUCCACUGUUAAGUUUAGCCUAAAGCUCCCUCCUUAUAUAUUUUAAGUUCAUCCUAAAGGUUUCUUCAUACAUAGUGAGCUGUAACCUAAUGGAUGUGUGAACAGACUGUAACUUGCUGUUGUGCCAAUCAUCAAGUUUUGGCCAGUCAAGGCCGUCCAACUGUUUAAAUGGUGUUCAAUAAGGUAAACACUGAGCUGUGAUCAAUCUGGCUGUUUCUGUACCUCAAUUCUGUUUUCUGUGCAUCACUUUCCUUUUUCUGUCCAUAAAUCUUCUUUGUCACCGUGGCAGCAACAGAGUCCCUCUGAACCUAUUCUGGUUCUGGGGCUACCAAGUCAUGAAUUAUUCUUUGCUCAAGUAAACUCUGUUAAAUUUAAUUUGUCUAAGAUUUUUCUUUUAACUAAACUAUCCUGUCUCCAUAUAGUUCAGCAGUUGGAAUCCUAAGGAACCUAACAUUUCAGGACACACGUAAAACAAAUAGAAAGUGUAUUAAUUUCCUAUUGUGCUUGUGACAGAUAACCAUAGAUUUAGUGGCUUACACAAGACAGAUUUAUUAUCUUGCAGUCUGUAGGUCAGAAGUCUAACAUGGGUCUUACCAGGCUGAAUUCAAAGUGUUGACAGUGCUGUGUUCCUUUCUGGGGGCCCCAGGGAAGAAUCUGUGUUUCUACCUUCUCUACUUUCUACAGGCUGCUGGUACCCCUUGUGGCUCCUUCUUCCAUCUCCCAGGCCAGCAAUGUCAGGCUGAGCUUUUCUCACAUUGUCUCAUGGACUGACCUAAUCUUCUGCCUCCUCCUUCUAUUUUUAAAGACCCUUGUGAUUACAUUGGGCCCAUCUGGAUAAUCCAGGAUAAUCUCCCAUUUUAAGUCAUUGUAAUAGCAAUCUCAAUUCCCCUUUGGCCAUACAACAUUACAUAUUCAUGGGUUCCAGGGAUUAGGAUGUGAGUAUCUCUGGGCAGCCAUUAUUCUACCUACUACAGGAAAGAGGAAAAUGAGGACAAAAACUCCACACACUCUCUCUUGCUUUCUCAAUUUCUUUAAUUCUCUAUGAGGAGAAACAGUUAAUUUGAAGAUGUUCUAGACCUCUAUAUUCAACCUCAGGAUUUUGUUCUGAGUCAUGAUCUGGUGAAUUUGGUCAAGACACGAAGGAAAGGAAUAAAGAUGCCAAAACAUACAGAAAAGAGGCUCACAAAUGUUGACUAAGAGGGUUUAAGAACUAAGAGGAGACCCUCUAGUUUUUGUUUGUUUGUUCUUUUGUUUUUUGAAACUGAGUCUCACUCUGUUGCCCAGGCUGGAGUGCUGUGGUGCAAACUUGGCUCACUGCAACCUCCGCCUCCCAGGUUCAAGCAAUUCUCCUGCCUCAGCCUCCUGAGUAGCUGGGAUUACAGGUGCAUGCCAUCACCCCUGGCUAAUUUUUGUAUUUUUAGUAGAGACGGGGUUUCGCCAUGUUGGUCAGGCUGGACUCGAACUCCUGACCUCAAGUGAUCCACCCACCUUGGCCUCCCAAAGUUCUGGGAUUACAGGCGUGAGCCACCAUGCCCAGCUGACUCUCUAGUUUCUAAUGGCUUGAGAAUUCCCCUCUUUAAGGGUAUGGGCUUAAUUUGCAAAAGGUGAGUUGAUGUGAGACAUCUAGAUGGAACGCCCAACUUCAAGGCCUAUUGGUCAGUAAAAUCAGCUAAUAAGAGUGGAGGGAGUGGGGGAAUGUCCCAGAAAAUUUAAGGAAGGAAUCAACUAAUUUCAAGUUGGAAGGGUUUUACGGACUCAUGAUCUCACAGAGUCUAAAGGACCUUAGGAACUUCCUUGUCCAGCCUCACACCAAACGCAAGACGGCCAUAGAUCUUCACCCUUUUUUGUGAGGCUCUGGUUAGGGGUAGGAAAUCAUCUAGAUUCCCUUAGAUCUUCUCUAAUUCUCUGAGUCCAUCACAAAUUUCAUCUCUAAUUAAUUAUUGGUAUUGAUGGAAAAAUCAGGCAAACGAUUCUUUCUGAUUUUUUCUCUGCCAGAACACUAGGAUGUUGAUUGUUACUAUAUCUUCGUGUGGAGGGUCUAAGAUCUCCUAGGCCACAUGUAGUAUUUAAUCCUCACUUAUGAGACUGUGAGGACAGGGAGAGAGAUCCGAGGGAGGAAAUAUCUGCUAGCAGACUUGGUGGCCUUCACGGAGGUCUCCUCCUCAGAUGUUGUAGUGGCUGUUGUUCAAUCUGCCUAGCACCCCUCUCCCACCUCUUCUGGUAACAGACCCAGUUCCUUUAGCUGCUUAGGGGGAACAUGUCAUAGUGAAUGGGCCAAUCCACAUAAUUCCUAGAGGAACUUUUCAAUCCUUGUGGGUUGGGAGAUGCCUAUCUACUCAGGUCACAAGCUUCGGGGAAGUACACGUUGCUGAUGGCCACAUCCCCACCUUAUGGAGAGUGAGCAGGUCUGGGAAGACGGCAUCAGACAGGAGCACAAAGGAGAGGGAGGGAGUCCUGAGGGUGUUUUCAGGUCCCUCAGUCCACCAUCCUUCGUUAUGGUUCAGUUACAUGAACAAAUACAUUUCCCUUUCAGGCUUAAGCUAGUUUAAGAUGUAUUUCUUCUAUUGGCAACCCAUGAGUCCUGAGUAAUUUAGAAUUUUUCAUUCUCAGUUUUCCUGCUUUCUAGAGAGUUGGAAGAAUGAACUAAAGAUCAGAAACUUUUCUUCUCAGAGUCCAACUGGUCCAUGAUGGUUUGGGGAAGAACCUGCAGAAAGAGAGGGCAGGAAAUUAGCAAGGUGAGAAAUCACAAAGGUUCUUAUAUACAGGAUCCAGUUGGUGAAUUGCAGGGUCCUGUUAUCUUUGCUCCUUUUUAGAUCUCCACUUGCCUAAAAUAAAUCAUGACCCUACACUUUCAAAGAUCCAGGCCAACCUUGGGGCCCCAAGGUGAGUUUUUUUCUGUCUUGUGAAACUGGUGCUACUUGUGUGGUGUAAAUCAGAGGGUUAGCAAGUAUUCAGUGGAUUUGCUGGUAAGCCCAACCUUUUGACAAAAGAGGGGGAAGAAAGAAAUAAAAGUAGGGGUGGGGGAAGUAAGCUAGAAGAAUAAGGAGAGAGAUAGAGAUGUGACUCCAUCAACAAAAUACUGAUUGAGUAUCUUCUACGUGUAAGACUGUGCUAGUUUCAACUUGCCAUUCUAAAUCAACAAAUAGAACCCUUAUUUGUGACUACAGAGGCUGAGAGUUAGGUGUGUCUGGUGUAAGACAGAUGCACACCCAGGUAUGACCAGCAAGCAGCAAAGUCAAUAGGCAAUUACUCAGGAAGGCUGUUAUGGAAGGAAUGAGAAUGAAUGGGCCCACGCUGACUUAGAAAUUAAGUUAAAACAUAUGGCAAAUGUUUUUCUGAUAUGCACUUAAAGCCUGGAACAGUCCAAGAGGCCCUGGGUUUCCCUGAGAGGGAGGCUUUUAGGAAGAGUGUAGGCUGCCUGUGGCUGCUGCACCUAACUGGAUUACAGGCCUCUGUGACGCUGCCCAUCACAUCUGCUUUUCAGUAAUGCCGUAGGGGAGGCAAGCUGUCCCCUUAGACCCUUAGCAUGAUCUGUCUAUGGGUUUCACAUUUUUUCCUGGCAGAGUUAGUUUUUCGUGUUUGUUUUGUGAAGAAAAACUUUGUAUACUUCUUUCCUUUUUUUUCCUUUGCAAUAAAGUGUUGAACAAAAUGUAUACUAUUUUGUCCAAACUUUUUAAGCUUCCAGAUUUGGAUAUGGUGUUUAUGUCUGUGGCUUUUAGAAAGUCUGAAUGGAUCUGAAAGGUCAGAAAAUACCUAAACAUUUGACUCUACCCUUCAGCUCACACGUGAUUGGCUGUGCAUUGUUUUAUUUUUAAAAAUGGUAAAUGAGAAACUAUUCUUUAGUCAUAUCUUGUUCUCAGAGCCUUUCCCCCUCUUGCAGACUGUGCCGCCACCCAAAAGCUUGAAAACACCCCAGGAAGCCAUCCCCUCAUUGUGAAAUGACUAAUCACCACACACCACUUGGUUUUCCUUCCUGGACGUCAUAGGCCAUAGCCCUGUAGUUCCCACAUUGUCUCUGUCAUCAUCCCAAGGAGUGUGACUCUUGAUUCUGAGCCUGGGCAGGACAGCCUGUCUCAGCACAGGCUGUUAUAUAAGCGGCUGUGGGGAGAGCUGGCAAUAAACAAACAUUUUUCCAGCCCUUGUUUUCUCUGCAGCCUUGAAAAAUAUUUUUCUGGGGCUGCUGCUGUGCUCCUGCAACAGGAUGGCAAAUUCCCAGCUUAGAAAUGUCUUGCUCUGCAUUUCCAGAUUCUAAAAUCAGAACAAAGUGAACCAGCAUGUUCAAAGGAACUGAAAUUUUGAGAGCCAGGACACAUAGAUGGGUUUCUCGACAAGCGGCUUUGCAGCAGUCUUUCCAAAGUUUCAUCCACACAUCCUGACGGCGAGUAACCAUUGGGAAAUUACAUGGUGACUUUAGGGCCACAGAGAGGAGAAUCAGAAGAUGACAGGAACUCACUUGGGAAUGGAGAAGUGAUGUUAUGGCUGCCAGUGUCAAAGUCAGACCCACUGUAUAAACACAGACAUUCACACAUAUGAGAACCAUGGGACUGAACAUUGGUAAAGUCCGUUCCUCCUUGGGCCACUCCAUCUUGGAAACUCAAAGGAGGAACACUUUACAGUAGUGUUCCACACACUCUACCUCUAACUCCCAGUACUGAAUUUAGUGGAAGUCCAACCACAGUUCCUCCCACCCAAACAGACAGUUCCUUGUGAGUGUCUCAGAGGGACACUUAGACAGGACAGCCUCCUCAUUCACUGGUGAAAGAUUUUCCAGAGCCAAAGCUCUUGCUUCCAUGGCUGUCACCUGUAAGGGUUGCUGGUACCAGCUGCUUUUCUGAAGCCACUGCACCCUCCCCAUUCCCCUGCAGUAGUCUCCAUUGUGAGACCUCAGCCAGAGUGACCUUGUGCUCUAUUUCCCUUCAAUGGCUGAUGUUCUGGUGUCACUCCCUGUGCUGAAAGCCAAGCUGAUUUCUCCACAUCUCUGAGUAAUUCAGAUCAUUUUACAAUGAAUUAGCAAGUGAGUUUGUUAUUGCAGUGCGGAGGAGGAGGGAUGGGAAGCACUUUCAGAGUUUCUUUUAGUUUUCCCUGAGUCUACUGAGACCCCUGAAAGAAAACUUACUGCCUGUAGCUUGGAAAUGUUGCUGUGUAUCCAAGAAGCUGCCACUCUGCUCAUUGGCAAGGCUACAUCUAUGGCUAUAUCAAUCCACCUUUCUCAUCAUUGUCCUCAUACCGUGGAACUAGGACAGAGUCACCCAGAAGGAAGCAUGGGUACUGUAGUUUAUCCAAGGUCACUAGGCUAGUCUUUUGGUCCUGUGUAGCUAGGAUUGGCUGCGUAAUAUGUAGGGUGCAGUGCAAAAUAAAAAUGUCAGGCCUCUGUUGAAAAAUUAUUAAUAAUUUCUAAAUGGCAACAGGUGAGCAUCAAACCAAACUCAGGCCCUAUACAAUCAUACAAGUCAUGUGCUUAUGAAGCCAAAGCCAUUCUCAGCAUAGCUUUUAUUUGAAGCCUCUAGUUUUCACAGUGGAGUGGCUAAAAGAGGUAAGUUCUUUGAGGGUUGUGCAAGAAAGUUUAGGAAGGAGAGAUGACAGCUGGCUGCUUUUAGCAGGACAUUCUUUGUAAGUGGGUAGCACCUGUGGGUCACUAUGAAAAACAGGCGCCAUCCAAAGUACUUUCCAUAUGUUAAAUCAUUUCAUAUACAUACAUACACAUGAAUAAUGUGUAUCUAUUAAAUCGUGAAUCCUCACAACAACCAUUUAAAGUGGGUGCUGUUGUUUUUCUAUGCUUUUAUAGGUAAGGAAACCGAGGCACAAUAGAGUUAAAUGAAAUGCUGAUUUAAAGUUUGGUUCUCAACUUUCUAAUAGAAACCCUCUAUUGUUGAAGUGAACUUGGAGCUUACUAGACCAUGAGGGACUGAAUCAUGCUAAACUCACAGAAAAUUGAUGUAUAUGCAACAAAACAAAUUUAUUCCUAUAAAAUGAGAGGCACUACCGUCCCAGUAACUGAGAUAUUUAUUUCUAUGACCCAAGAUACCCCUUUUGAGUAUUAAGGUGCCUGGGGUGACUGAAGUAACAGUCAGAAGCUUGCUCAGUGAUCACAGAAUCAAAACAAAGCGAAUUGCAAAAUCUCAGGGGAGAUGCUGACCAAACAGAUAGAGUCUGAGAAAUCAUCCCUGUGCUUAAUACUUUUCUUCCUGGUGGAUGAAGUACUCUUGUCUGCUAAAUACAGGGUCUUAAUUCAUGCAUGGUGUUUAGUUCUCCUUUGCAGGAGUCAUCCCCACCACCUCAUGUCAAGUCAGUUACAGCACAACUGAAUAUGCUGCCCCCUUCUUAAUGUUGCUGUGCUCUGGUCUGGGGUGUGAUCCCAAACAUCAUGAUCCCAGCAGUAGCUGGUUUACAAACCAACUCUGAGGAUGCCACAUCCAUAGAAAACCUGUCGUUUUCUUCUGGUUUCCACUUCAAAGUGUGAACUGAAUCUGGGCCACCAUGUGCUCCCUAAACUUAGCAUUUAAGUAGCUCUGAUGAGCAGAAUGUUAAUGUGUUAAAAUGAGAUUAUGUUCGUUCCCUUACAAAUUUAGGAUAAAGAUGCUAGGCUGGCCCUUUGAAGGUAAAUUAACUCCUCAGAAGCACCUGCUUGUGUGGCAUUAAGUAAUCAAACAACAAAACUACACUUGGAUGGGUUUAAAGUGGGACUGAAAAAGUAGACAAAAAGUAGAUGACUUUUGCAUCAUCAGGGAAUUGAUUUUUUGCUUUGUUUGUAACUCUCCACUUGAAAGUUGUCUUUUUCCUGCCAAAUUCAGGGUGAUUCAUAAAACCAUCUUCUCUUAAUGUGAAGAGAAAUUGCUGGAGGUUGUUUUGAAGGGCAUCUUUGGGAACCACCUUAACAAGUAGCUGAAUAAGGAAGAGGAGGAUGAUGAUCGCUGACAUAAAAAAUGCUUACUAUAUAGGUGGCAGGCAUUGUGCUAACUGGAUUAAAUAUUAUUUUUUAACAACCCUAUGAGACUAUUCUCAUUGUACUGAGAGAAAACGGAUUUGGGGCCAGCAAUGGUGAGAGAAAAUGGUGAUGAUUCUUAAACUCUGAACUUCAAGCAUUAAGAAUUGGCUGCAAUAGAAAACUGGUCCUAGAUGGUCCCAAGUGGCCCAUCAUGAGCCAGAUACUAGUGGGGGAUAUAGGGAGGACCAGAGGCCACAGAGAACCACGUGAUGAAUGUAGAAGAAAGAGGGUUUUAAAAGGGCCAGGGCAGAGGUGUUCCUGUAGGAUUAGGCACACAUAGACCAAGCUCUCCUGAGAUCCCUCACUGAGAAGGAAUUGGAAAGAACACCAGAAUCAUGUACUCCCUAGUUCGAUGUGGAUAUUAAUUGUAACUGAUUAUGUGUAUACAUUUAUGCUGAAGUUAACUGUGAGUAAAUUGGUUGUAUGUCAUUCCUUGGUGUGUAUUUUGCCUUUCCUAUUCUUUUUUGUUCCAUUAUAAACUCGGGUUGCUAGAACCUCAUACGAUCCUGUGAGAGGUGGGAGUUAGCUGGUCACUCAGUCUUCUCCUCUUUCCUGGGAGGUGGUGGUUUAAUCAUAUCCAUUUGUAAAAGGGGAAAUGGUGGCUCAGAGGUCCUCAGUAAUUUCUACAGCUAGAUAAUUCAUGGGUGCAGAGUUCAGAUCUGGGGUUCAGACCCCUACAGUGUGUGUGGCAGGGAGUCUAGGCAAACAGCAACUCUCACCCGCAAGCACCCAACAAGGUUUGUCCUUGUUUUCAGUGGGCCUCCUACUUCCCUGAAAGGUCUAAUCUCAGCAACACAGUCUCAUUUAGCUUAUUGUUUUGGCUAUUUAUGUGCAAUAACUGUGAAAAGCAAGAAGAUGGGUUGCAAUUUCCUUACCUACUUGUUAUGUUCAAAUCAGCUCUUUGAAAGCAGAGUCAAGAUACAAUAAUAGUAAUAAUAACAAUAAUCAUUUAUAGUUAAAGCAUGGAAUCGAAUGGUGCUUCCAUAGCAUCCAUGUGUGUCAGGUGCUCUUUUAAGCAAGUUACAUUCAUUCAGUUUGUCCCACAUCUUCAUAAAACAAGGGGUGAAUUGUAUGAGGAAAAGGAUGCUAGAAUUUCAAUUUUGUCUUGCUCCAUUCCAUCUCUGAACUUCUCAAAAUGAAUUUUAGCAAGGCCUGACCUAUAUAGAAAUCUGUUUCUUAUACAUGGCUCCAAAAAUGGUCCUACUCUGAAGUCUGCAUUUUUGGCAAUGGGAGGUGCCAGACAAGAAGUGAGGGUCUGAGGCCCACCCUGGACUCCUCCAGGCCUAGUCAUCCUGGUGUGUUUCUCAGAAUCUAUGGUUCCUUCUCUCCUCCCUCCUCUUUUGCUUUCUUCCUGCCACAAAAUCUCUUUUUUUCAUCGUGAAGAGCCACAUGCCAAUUACUUUAUACAGCAACACCCCAUCCUCCUCUAGCUCUCCAGGGUCCAGGCUCUUGGGGCCCUCAUACAUGUUCCCACACCCUGGAAGGGUAGAGACCCCUCCGCCUCCUGGUGCCAGCAGAAGGGUGGGAGACCUACGUGCAGUCAAGUGGAGAAUUUGUCUCCCAGGGCCCAAAGAGACAUUCAACACCAAGCUCUGUGCGGCAAUUCCCCUCAUAAAUCUCAGCUCUAACUACAAAUUAUUUACACUAUCCAGUUUCACUUCCUUCUUCUCUCCCAUCGGAUUCAAAGGAUUUUAGACUUCAGAAAAACAUUGAGUCUGAAUUAAACAUCGGCAUGAACUUGAUCAACUUUAAGUCUCUCAUUUCACAUCAGAAGCCAGGAGUUGGGAGUGGCGGGGGCAGGGAUCAGAAGAUAUCUACAGACAAAAAGACAUUUAUAAAGCAAUAUAGUAUUAAAGAUGGAAAAGCCCACAUGAAAAACGCAGAGGCCAGCCCACCUCCCUGUGACACUAUUGCCCUUAAUCAUGGUACUGGGAUGGUAUAUCUCCAGAAGUUUGAAACAGGAAACAAAUAAUAUUUCAAAGUUUCCAGCAAGAAAGUAAUGACAGCUUUGGAGAGCAGCUGCAGCCACUUUCUUCCAUUAAGCCUUUGUCCCUCCCCUUGGCCUUGGCAGUGGGUCUAGGGCGCCAUGCGAUCCCUACAGCUUUCAUUACACCCAGUUCAAGAACCUGCUUGCAAGCGUCUCCUUGCCCAGCACACAAACAAACUUUAAAUGAUAAAGGAAAACACUGGCAGCAUGUUCCUGUGUUCUGAGGCAGGCCUGGGGCGGGGCUUUCCCAGAGUUUGUUGUGAGAGACAACCUGCUCUCCCACCAGGUGGAGAGGAGCCUGGACCAAGGUUGAAAAGCCAUGAGUCAGGCCUAGAGAAUUUCAGUUGCAACACCCUCUUGUAAGAGGCUGUUUAGUCAUAGCUGUUGCUUUCAAUGAAAAGGUCACCCACUCCAUAGUGAAUGGUUAUUUGCUGGCUGCUUCUCACACUGUUGCAAUUGUGAUCCUUUUGCAUCUUUGAUUGUCUUUCAUCGGAAAACUAUGACAUGCUUCAUUUUGUUUCCCAGGGUGGUAGCCACAGUCGGCGGUCAGUUGGCGAGCUGGCUACAUUCGAUGGUAUGCAAACAACUCGGUGGCAGCUUAAAGGGUGGGGUAGGCAGUGUGGCCCUCAAUGUGCAGUUCGAGUUUCCCAAGUUGAAGGCUCACAGAGUGAUUGGAAACCAGGAGAAAAAUUACUGUGGUCUGAGCAGGGAAGGAAGAAAGGUCCUGGACACUCGGCUUCUAGAGAGAUCCACGUGCGCCAUGCCGCAACUGCAUUCAGUGUCUUCCAGCUUCCAACUUGUUGUCAGCCUUCAGAGUGACUGACCCGGGGAGAUCAGCUGGGAGCCCCCUUACGACCUGUCAGCAUGCGCCCCGAGAAGACACCUUGGUCAAGCGUCUCUCAGCCUGGUCACACUUGCUGGCUUUUUUCAUUAUGGUCAUGGCUAAGAGGGAAGAGGAGAGUUGCCAAAUUUGACCUAUACUUCGACAUUAUAAUUUAGCCCAUUCAUUUUCCUCUUGAGGAUAAAUGUUAAAAGUCCAAUUUAUGGGAGGCCAAGGCGAGCGGUUCAUGAGAUCCAGAGAUCGAGACCAUCCUGGCUAACACAGUGAAACCCAGUCUCUACUAAAAAUAUAAAAAAUUAGCCGGGCGUGGUGGUGGGCGCCUGUAGUUCCAGCUACUUGGGAGGCUGAGGCAGGAGAAUGGCAUGAACCAGGGAGGCAGAGCUUGCAGUGAGCCAAGAUCUUGUCACGGCACUCCAGCCUGGGCUGCAGAGCGAGACUCUGUCUCAAACAAACAAACAAACAAAAAGUCCAAUUUGUUGGAGAAUUUUUUAGGAGGGAUGAAGGGAAUGGGGGAUUGGAAGAUAGGAAGUCAAAUGCGCUCUAAUCUUUUCUUGCUUUUUUCUAUGCUUUUUCUAUGUGGGACUUGUUGAAUGUUUAUUGCAAGCUCUUUA